UACUACUAGACGGGCUUGGUUGCCGAGGAUUAUCAAGAUUUAUGGUAGUCUUUAAACGAUCGUUCGUGUUCGUAUAAACGCAAGGAAACAAAAGAGACAAACAAAUAAAAUUAAACUCAAAAGAAAAUUUAAAAACUUCAUUCUCGAAAUUUUUAAAGCGAAAACAUUCUAUAAGAAUGUAUUACUGUAUAAAAUGCAUUCUUCUCCACAAGAGGGAAGGGUCUCGCUUUAUACGAAUAAACACAACAUGUAAACAUUCUUAAAGCACAUCCUUAAAUUGUUUAGAUUUUUUCUUUUUCACGGCCGAUUUAUUUUUCGCAAGAAUAUCUUAAUAAUCCUUCGUCAUCCCAAAACAUUCAUCAUUGGAACAUACUUUCAUGUCUCCGUCUCUGCCUACCGAAGUGUAAAGUGCGGCAAUUUUGUAGUAUUUGAAGGUUUAAAGCAUUUUUGACAAUAAAUAAUUCAACUGGUUCAAUCAUUAUACAUCUAACGAAAAGUUGUUUAAGAACAAGGACAAUUUGGCAUGUUGUAAAGCAAAAAACAUUAAAAAUACUAAAAAAAAAAAACACAAAUCAAUUGGAACCAUCGCACCGGUCCAAAGAAAAAACCUUAACAAAAUAAAGCAAAAGAAAUGAACAAAGGGAAACACUUAGGUAUCUGUGCUGCUGACCUCGAGAGGAGAAAUGCCCGUUUAAUCUAUACGAGACUUACCGGCAAGUAUUCUGGAGGCAAGGAGACGUGAUGCUCACGUUGCUGUUGCUGCUGGGCAUCCAUUAGUUCUUGCUUAAUACUCAGAGAUUGGUUUAAACCCAUGCCACCAGAUGAUGCAUUAACGUUGCCGCCACCGCUGAGAGCACUGGCCGACAAUGGAGAGUCACGGCGUCCUCCGGAAUCUUCUGUUUCUGAUGUAUUACCGCCACCGCCAAGGGACUUUGGCACAGGACUUGAUUUAAAGUUUGAGGGCGCCUAAAAAGAACGAAAUUCGCAUGAGUGAUCGUGUUUUGACAGUAAGUGUUAUGUAUACGAAAACACUUUCUCAAAUUAACGAAACGGAAACAAAAAAUUAUUCGCUUGUUUUGGAAUACACCCCAGACAAAUAAUUAUAUGUGCAAAAAAUUUUGCUCUUUUCCAUCUAUAUGAAACCAACAAUUGAACAAGAAUUAAAGAACAAAAUGUUCACUACCUUGAACACUUUUACAUUCCAUAACCAAUUCUCUGUUUGAACUUCAUCCAAAGUACUAUCACUCUUAAUUUCUGUGGAAGUCUAAGAUUCCCAUAGAAAUUAUUCAU